GUUAACGUAGCAAAAUCUGGUAUUGCAACAAGACCUAAACCCUUUCUAUAGAAGUUCAAAUCUUCUCGUUAAC
rnacentral:tRNA from 1 species